UACAGAGACUGCAAGCGUUAUUCGGAUUCACUGGGCGUAAAGGGUGCGCAGGCGGUUGGGUGUGUCAGAUGUGAAAUCCCGAGGCUUAACCUCGGAACUGCGUCUGAAACUACUCGACUAGAGUACUGGAGAGGGUAACGGAAUUCACGGUGUAGCAGUGAAAUGCGUAGAUAUCGUGAGGAACACCAGAGGCGAAGGCGGUUACCUGGACAGUUACUGACGCUCAGGCACGAAAGCAUGGGGAGCGAACGGG
rnacentral:rRNA from 1 species